GAAUAUUCCGCAAUGGGCGAAAGCCUGACGGAGCGACGCCGCGUGAGCGAUGAAGGUCUUCGGAUCGUAAAGCUCUGUUGUUAGGGAAGAACAAGUACCGGAGUAACUGCCGGUACCUUGACGGUACCUAACCAGAAAGCCCCGGCUAACUACGUGCCAGCCGCCGCGGUAAUACGUGGGGGGCGAGCGUUGGCCGGAAUUAUUGGGCGUAAAGGGCGCGUAGGCGGUCUCUUAAGUCUGAUGUGAAAGCCCCCGGCUUAACCGGGGAGGGUCAUUGGAAACUGGGAGACUUGAGUGCAGGAGAGGGAAGCGGAAUUCCAUGUGUAGCGGUGAAAUGCGUAGAGAUAUGGAGGAACACCAGUGGCGAAGGCGGCUUCCUGGCCUGUAACUGACGCUGAGGCGCGAAAGCGUGGGGAGCAAAC
rnacentral:rRNA from 1 species